GUAUUAUUUGGUCACAUCAAAAAAAAAAAAAAAAAAACAGCUGGGCCUCCAUUUUCCCUCUCUUCCUCUGUUUUCUGCAUGCUAACCGAAGAAGAAACCGGCAGGCACCAGCACCGCCACGUGGCAGGGAAUUGUUUGAUUACAUUCAUUAAUCAAAUCAUAUUCAUAAUAAUUCUCCACUGAGUUAUUCUUUCUUUAUAUAUAAAUCAUUGAAAUUAGAAUUAAUUAUGGCGGGUGUUGUGGUUAAUGGGAAGAAGAAAGAAGAAAUUAGAGGGUGUAAAAGUGAUGUUAUUAGUGGUCCGAGUAAUCCAAUGGUGACACCUUUAUUAACAGAUCUUUAUCAAUUUACUAUGGCUUAUGCUUAUUGGAAAGCUGGAAAGCAUAAUGAACGUGCUGUGUUUGACUUGUAUUUCCGGAAGAAUCCAUUUGGCGGUGAAUAUACAAUUUUUGCUGGUUUAGAAGAAUGCAUAAAGUUUAUUGCUCAUUACAAAUUAACUGAGGAUGAGAUAGCUUUUAUCAGGUCAUCGUUGCCCCCAUCGUGUGAGGAUGCUUUCUAUAACUACCUUCGAGGAAUUAACUGUUCAGAUGUUGAGAUAUAUUCUAUACCUGAAGGAUCAGUUGUCUUUCCCAAGGUUCCGUUGAUGAGGAUUGAAGGGCCAAUUGCUGUGGUUCAACUACUGGAAACUGCAUUUGUCAAUCUCAUAAACUAUGCAUCGCUAGUCACUACUAAUGCAGCAAGACAUCGUUUUGUUGCUGGAAAGUCCAAGCUGCUGUUGGAAUUUGGGCUUCGAAGAGCACAGGGUCCUGAUGGUGGUAUAUCAGCUUCGAAAUAUUGCUACAUGGGAGGAUUUGAUGCAACUAGCAAUGUGGCAGCUGGAAAGUUAUUUGGGAUCCCGCUCCGUGGAACACAUUCCCAUGCCUUCGUUAGCUCAUUUAUGAGCCCAGAUGAGAUCAUAGACAAAUCACUUAAACACCAUGAUGGUUCUACUGUUUGUAAGGAUUUUGUUAGUCUGGUGAAAACGUGGCUUAUUAAAUUAAAGCGGUCACGCUUAUUAGGUGGAAUCUUCAGCGAGACAAACCAAAGUGAGUUAGCAGCUUUCGCCUCAUAUGGGCUUGCCUUUCCUGGAAGCUUUUUGGCCCUUGUGGACACUUAUGAUGUCAUGAGAAGUGGUGUUCCAAAUUUUUGUGCAGUUGCUCUUGCACUUAAUGAUUUGGGGUAUAGAGCAGUUGGCAUCAGAUUAGACUCUGGUGAUCUUGCUUAUCAGUCAUGCGAAGCCAGGAAAUUCUUUCAAACCAUUGAAAAAGAGUUUGGAGUGCCUGGUUUUGGAAAGAUGAACAUCACAGCUAGCAAUGACCUUAAUGAGGAAACAUUGGAUGCGCUAAAGAAACAGGGCCACGAGGUUGAUUCUUUUGGCAUUGGAACACAUUUGGUUACCUGCUACGCACAGCCCGCUCUAGGUGUUGUUUUCAAGUUGGUUGAGAUAAAUAAUCAACCUAGGAUCAAACUGUCUGAAGAUGUAACAAAGGUCUCUAUUCCAUGUAAAAAACGGUGUUUCAGAUUAUAUGGAAAGGAAGGCUACCCCCUUGUCGAUAUAAUGACCGGUGAAAAUGAGCCACCUCCUAAGGUAGGAGAACGAAUUUUGUGCCGUCAUCCAUUUACUGAAUCUAAAAGGGCAUAUGUUGUGCCCCAGCUAGUUGAGGAGCUUUUAAAGUGUUUUUGGCCUGGAAGUUCAGAUAAAACACGGGAAGAUCUGCCUCCAUUGAAGGAUAUCAGGGAACGAUGUAUUGAACAACUGGAGCAAAUGCGGCCAGAUCAUAUGAGAAGACUGAACCCAACACCAUACAAGGUUAGCGUGAGCGCAAAGUUGUAUGAUUUCAUCCAUUUCCUUUGGCUCAACGAAGCGCCUGUUGGGGAGUUGCAGUGAUCGUCAAAUCAAAGAACGGAUUUUUGAAUGAUUUUUUAGUGGAGGAUAGUUGGUUCGAAAAGGAUCUUCUAAUACAUGGGAUAAGUCAGGAAGAUUAUCGGACCGGUAAAGAUUUACUGUAGUUGGCUUGAAUCUCCUUAAAGAGAGCGAGAUAUCUGCACCUCAGCCUGAAGAUACUUUAUUUUCUUCAUAUUAUUUUUCAAUUGUAAUUGUUUUUUCACCAACAAUCUUAAAGGAGAUUCAAUGGCUACAACUGAAAAAUCCGCGGAUGUCAAGGUGGGAGAUGUUAACAAGCCAUUUCGAGUUCAACGGUACUCAUUUCAAGAGAUAGAAGGGUAAAGUACUUUUCUACAUAAGUCUUCUCAAUGUUUCUUACGUGUUAACUGAGAA